UCUUGCCACCCUUGAAAAACCCUAGUCUUUGUAUUAAAAAAGAGCUAGACGCGAAUCUGGAUUUAGUCUUCCAGCCUCGCCUCCCAACUCCCCUCUCGCAUCGUUGAUUAAAGUUUGGUUGAACUUGUAGUCGUCCGAGGCGUAAUGAGGAUGUGUUUGAAAAAUAGCCAAAGGCCAAUCUGGAUUCACUCCUUCAUCGUCCGAGGCGUGCUAAGGAUGGUGCUGAUGCUGAGGUCGAUGGCGAGAAGCGGAAACAGCGCAAAUUUUGUUGCCAUGUUUCUGUGAAUGAGAAACUGGCGAGGGCGCCAAUCUACCGAGGUAUCGUGAUUGAGAUAAGAAGAGGCCGGAGGAUAUCAAUCUCAGGGAGGGAAGUAAAACAGGGAAGGAUAGGCUCUGUGAUUUCAAAGAUAAGUAACGCCUGUUCUACCCUUGUUGCCUUGAAUCUUUUUGCAGUAGUGUGGUGCGAGGGCGCUUGUAGUGUCAGUUUUUUUAGUUGGUUGAAAUUUUUGAAUGUAGACCACAAAUGUGGGUUGUAUAGUGGGGUUGUAGCAUCAUUGGCACUUGGAAAAGGAUUUGAAAUUUUUUAUGGUUUAAAAUAUGGAUGGAGUGUAUUCUGCGCUUGUGAUGUGGAUGUUGAUUUCAAUUUGAUUGAGGAGGUUAGUCCUCUGGAGCCUUGUGUUGCAUGCAUAAAUCUUCCACCUUGUAAGGUCUUUAGGACUCUUUUGUGUGACUUGAGCAUUGUGAAUGGUUUACAAUUUGUGGAGAUAUAUUCUUAAUUACCAUGGUUUUUUUUUUUUUUACUCUGUAGUGAUAGUCAAAGUAAUAAUGAACCAUGGUAUCCUCCUACAAUUGGGUUGGUGGCAAUUUUGGAGGACAACUAAAUCUUGGCCUGCAAUCUAAAGGUAUGUUUAUUAAAGAGCAUUUGCUACAACUAUUUUGGAAUUUUUUAAGCAUCCUUGACUAACUUGAUAAAUGUCAUAGCAUCUUUUAAAGUAUUUGUAUUUUCUAAAAUUCCAUUAUCUCCAUUUUUUCAAUAUUGUGUUCUUAUAUGUUAGUAUUUAUUAGUAUUUAUUACUUUACACUAAUGCUAGUCUAAUAAUUCUUUGUUAUAGUUAACCAUAUUAUCAUACUUAUUAUAAUGUAGGUUCUACUGAUUUUCACUAUGUUUCUUUUAUAAAACCAAAAAAGGUUCAUCAUAGAAGGGGGAGCAAAGAAAGUAGGUGUUUUCUUGUUAGAAAAAUUAGAACAUGUAAAGGUUUAUAUUUUUGAUCCUCAUAAAGUUGUUGAUUACGUGUUUUUAUUAAAAGAAUUUUUUUAACCUUUGAAGAUU